rfam:Schistosoma mansoni strain Puerto Rico chromosome 3, complete genome
GCACUGCUGAGGAGUCCCACAAUAGGACGGAACGGCCGUUUAGUGC